rnacentral:rRNA from 1 species
UAAGGAAUAUUGGUCAAUGGACGCAAGUCUGAACCAGCCAUGCCGCGUGGAGGAUGAAGGUCCUCUGGAUUGUAAACUUCUUUUAUCUGGGACGAAACACUUCUUUUCUAAGAGGCCUGACGGUACCAGAUGAAUAAGCACCGGCUAACUCAGUGCCAGCAGCCGCGGUAAUACGGAGGGUGCAAGCGUUAUCCGGAUUCACUGGGUUUAAAGGGUGCGUAGGUGGGUAUGUAAGUCAGUGGUGAAAUCCCCGAGCGUAACUUGGGAACUGCCAUUGAUACUAUAUAUCUUGAAUACCGUAGAGGUAAGCGGAAUAUGUCAUGUAGCGGUGAAAUUCUUAGAUAUGACAUGGAACACCAAUUGCGACGGCAGCUUACUAUGC